rnacentral:rRNA from 1 species
GGCGAGUGGCGAACGGGUGAGUAAUAUAUCGGAACGUACCCAAGAGUGGGGGAUAACGUAGCGAAAGUUACGCUAAUACCGCAUACGAUCCAAGGAUGAAAGCAGGGGACCGCAAGGCCUUGUGCUCCUGGAGCGGCCGAUAUCUGAUUAGCUAGUUGGUAGGGUAAAGGCCUACCAAGGCGACGAUCAGUAGCUGGUCUGAGAGGACGACCAGCCACACUGGAACUGAGACACGGUCCAGACUCCUACGGGAGGCAGCAGUGGGGAAUUUUGGACAAUGGGCGCAAGCCUGAUCCAGCAAUGCCGCGUGAGUGAAGAAGGCCUUCGGGUUGUAAAGCUCUUUUGUCAGGGAAGAAACGGUGAAGGCUAAUAUCCUUCGCUAAUGACGGUACCUGAAGAAUAAGCACCGGCUAACUACGUGCCAGCAGCCGCGGUAAUACGUAGGGUGCAAGCGUUAUCCGGAAUCAUUGGGUUUAAAGGGUCCGUAGGCGGUCAGAUAAGUCAGUGGUGAAAGCCCAUCGCUCAACGGUGGAACGGCCAUUGAUA